rnacentral:rRNA from 1 species
AAUGAACGCUGGCGGCGUGCCUAAUACAUGCAAGUCGAGCGAAAAGACGAGGAGCUUGCUCCUCUGACGUUAGCGGCGGAGGGGUGAGUAACACGUGGAUAACCUACCUAUAAGACUGGGAUAACUUCGGGAAACCGGAGCUAAUACCGGAUAAUAUAUUGAACCGCAUGGUUCAAUAGUGAAAGACGGCUUUGCUGUCACUUAUAGAUGGAUCCGCGCCGCAUUAGCUAGUUGGUAAGGUAACGGCUUACCAAGGCAACGAUGCGUAGCCGACCUGAGAGGGUGAUCGGCCACACUGGAACUGAGACACGGUCCAGACUCCUACGGGAGGCAGCAGUAGGGAAUCUUCCGCAAUGGGCGAAAGCCUGACGGAGCAACGCCGCGUGAGUGAUGAAGGUCUUCGGAUCGUAAAACUCUGUUAUUAGGGAAGAACAAAUGUGUAAGUAACUCUGCACGUCUUGACGGUACCUGAUCAGAAAGCCACGGCUAACUACGUG